AUAAUUGUUGUGAUGAAAUUGAUGGCUCCUAAGAUAGAGGAGAUACCUGCUAGGUGUAAGGAGAAGAUGGUUAGGUCUACGGAGGCUCCAGGGUGGGAGUAGUUCCCUGCCAAGGGAGGGUAGACUGUUCAACCUGUUCCUGCGCCGGCCUCCACUAUAGCAGAUGCAAGCAGGAGUAGGAGAGAGGGGGGUAAGAGUCAGAAGCUUAUGUUGUUUAUGCGGGGAAACGCCAUAUCGGGGGCACCGAUUAUUAGGGGAACUAGUCAGUUGCCAAAGCCUCCGAUUAUGAUGGGUAUUACUAUGAAGAAGAUUAUUACAAAUGCAUGGGCUGUGACGAUAACGUUGUAGAUGUGGUCGUUACCUAGAAGGUUGCCUGGCUGGCCCAGUUCGGCUCGAAUAAGGAGGCUUAGAGCUGUGCCUAGGACUCCAGCUCAUGCGCCGAAUAAUAGACCUUAGUUUAGGUAUUGGGGCCAAAGGAUGGAUGACCAUUUCAAACGAUCCAGGCUAAGCCAGGAGGAGAGCUCAAAGUCUGAUCUGGGCUGGACUCUUGGUCUGUCGUCCAGGAUAGAGGGCAGGGAUGCCAUCACUACUCACUAUAACCUCAAACUCCUGGGCUCAAGCAAUCCUCCCACCUCAGCCUCCGGAGUAGCUGGGACUACAGCUCUGCUGCCCCCUGCCCCAUACACGUGAUGGAGCAGAAAACGUGCUGUGUGAACCUGUGACUUCAGGGCCUGUUGACGUGGUCGUGCUUGCAUACUCUCUGGACUGGACCUCACUGUGGGAACAACAAGAUCAACAAGAGGAGCAAGAACAACAUCAAGAGUCAGGGCCCGGGGGUCCUGACGGGUACAGGAUGGGUACAGACCCACACAGGAAUCCCAGAGUGUGUUCCACAGCAGGACACGCCUGCGCUGAAAGAGUGGGCAGAAAGGAGCUGACCUGGGAUUAUGAUCCAAACUCAGCUGGGCCUCCCCUACCUGCCCCAGGAUUGUGGAGUGAGAACGUUGCAGCAGGGGAGAACAACGCAGCAAAGCACAGCAGGGGAACCGGAAAUGCUCACCCUUUGACAGGACCAAACCAAUGCACAACUCCUACGUACUGAUGGUGGUCUUACGUUUCCCUAAGUUUCUGCCGACUAAACUGUGCACACGUUCUCAGGACCUCCUGAAGCUGCGUCACAGGCGCUGAUCAAAGAACACAACCAAGAGUUUGGCCUUUUCUUCAGCACUGGGAAUUGUGAUCCAAAGCUUUUCCUGAUGAGGCACAAAGUUGGAGAAACAAAACGCAAACUAAGCAACAAUGAAACAGAACAGAGUGAAUCUGCUGUAGCUCAAGAGAGGACGUAGCUGCCCCCACCCCGCAUCCCCGGGCUCGGGUUUGCCUUGCUGACCUCUGCUGCCACCUGGUGCCGCACAGAGAAACUGAGGAGAAACCACAUCAGUCUCCUUCAGCCUCAGCUUCACAUCUGUGGGUCAAGCAACCCUUUCAGAAGCUGAAUAAUGUGGGAAAGCUUUCCUCUCAGGAAAAUGCACACAUCCAACUUUGAGA
rnacentral:lncRNA from 1 species